UGGAGCUUUUCAGCUUAAUGCCCACAUCCUGAGCUGUUGAGGAAGAUUCGGAAAGGUUGCUUCACAAUCAGCUACACCACAGGAAAGCAAUCCAUCGCCCCUGCUUGUGACUCCAAAAAUAAAAGGCUCAAGACCCCAACUUUAAGCAGCAGACAGAUCUUUUGCUCGUGUUUGUUUUUGUGUUUUGGCCAGAGGUCUGAAACGUCCUACCAGCAACCUGUAAGUGCAGGUCAGAGUCUGGUUAUUACUCCUACUGUAGCACUGAGAGACGUGUCUCUCUUCAAGUAGUCCUACAUCAGCAAAACAUAUACACACUGUACAUUUUUAAAAGACCUAACCAAAAAUGGCACCUACCAAGGACUAGAUAUCUUUAUGGGUUAUUUUGAGCCGUUUAAAUCGUGUAGCCUCUUUUCUUUUUCUUCUUUUACUUCCAAAAAAAGAUAUUGGAGGACUUGAACUACAUGUCUGUGUAGAGUCAUUUAUUCAUCUGCGUUGUGUGCAGAGUAGGAAGUCAAGUAGUUUUGCGCCUGGCGAACUAAUUCGAUAAGAUCUUUUGUCUGCAUUUACAGUAAAAGCUCCAGACUGCAGCAAUUUGACCGUUUAUUUCAAAGAACGCAAAAUGAAAUUCAUGGUUUUCCCAUAUUUAUUCACCAACAAUGUUAUCUGUUGGAUUUAGCCUGGAAAUACAAACAUGGUCACUGCUUCAUGAAAUCUUGACACUGAGGAGCCACAAAAGGAUGACAAGACUGAUUUUUAUCGUUACGGAGAAAAGCUGCUGUACAUUGAGAAAUUUUUAAUCUGUUCAGUAUUUAAAAAAUGAAAAUAAAGAAACAAAAAAAUAGCAUUUUACACACUUUUUAAAAGUAUUAGAGUUGUGUGUUUAUCCUUAACUUUGCCAGUUCGGAGAGUGUGAGGCUGGAGAGCAGAAGUCUUGUAAUCUUUCCCCGUCUCGGUCACUCAGAUCUCCUCACGUGGAUCUAUCAUUGUUGCAGCAGAUGCAUAUUAUAUUUUCUUGUAAAUCAAAGCGUUUGUUGAUCACUGUUUGAUGCCGACAAAGAUAUUUUAAGAUGACUAUUUUGAAUAUAAAUUGUAUUUUAUUUUCCAGGUACAAUUAUAAUAGCCAGCUGUCGUAGGAGUAGAAUUAAAAUCAUCAAGAGAAUCACCUCAGAUGUUAUUUUGACUUCGAUGCUAAUGAGCGCUUUGGGAAAGAGGGCAGAAACGGAAAGAGGGAACAUAUUGUUACAUGCAACUUUGUACUGCAUGUCUUCUAUUUUAGAUAUUAAAUGAUAGGAAUAUUAUAGCUAUAUUAUAUGAUAUUAAAUGACUGUUCGGGGCAGGUUGUUGCAGCUUGUGGGAUGGAUGAAAGAAUCUGGUUUUAUUUAAAGAAACACCCUGAUCAGGUUUCAGGUGCCAUUCUGUGAGUUUAUUUAUUCAAAAAAGAGAGAGAGAGACUAAUUUUGUGUGAAGAUUUACCUUCAUCUGUUUGUUGCUCGUGCAAAGACGUGAUCUUACGAAGAAACAUCACAGGUCGGUAAGGAAAUGCAGUGGGGCAGAGGUGCAUUUCAUUCACUCCUUGAUGGACUAAAUGCGAUCAAGGACACGCAGCCUGUUUAAAACUACAAAUUUGGAUUACAUGAUCAUUACACGUUGUAUUUAAUCUGUUUGGCUCAAUGAAACCAAUACAUCUUCAACAAAGUAGAAGUGAUUGAUUUAGCUUUAAGUAAGUGAUCACUGCUGAGUUUCAUAGCCAGCUCUUUGCAUAUUAAGCAGCACCCAAACAGCUGAUUUUAUUCAUUUUUCCCCUCAUAGCACCACGUUAAGUCAUCAAAUAUUGGUGGCGACUUUUUUCCAGGGCUGCUAAGCUCAUAGCUGAACCUGAUAGAUGAAAUUUGCUUGCCCAGUGGGUUUAGGAAUAAUGUAUAGACUAGAAUUCACUCAUCGUAUAGCGGCACCUACAACAGCACCUUUUAUGUGAAUAUUUAGUAUGACUGUUUCGUCAGGACCUCAAAGGCCUUGUGUGUUAUCCCCCAUUCAUUCCAAAUCACAGAGAGCCCUGCCUGGAACUGAGUUUUGACACUAAGAUCGAGUCUUUCUGUAGCAGCAAACGCGACUCUCUUUGGGAUAUUACUUCAGAGGCGUGGCAGCAGCUUUACAAUGCAGACUUGACUGUCAGCGGUUCUGGUUUUGGAACAGCUUUCACCUCAUUAGAACCACGAAUGUCUCCGCCUGUAUCUGCUUCUCCUCUCUUCAUUUUACAGACAAGAGCUACUUAACAUUGCAUCGCAGAUGAGAACUAUUUCUCCAGUCACCCCGUGAAUGUAGGAUACAGUUAUAUGCUCUUACUCACACCUGAGGAGUCACUUUAUAUUUGUAGAUUUUCCUUCUACAUAGCCAUUUAUGGAAGAGAAAUGUUCUGACCAGCACACACAUAAAAGGCCUCGGUUGAGUUAGAAACAUAGAGGUCUUGUAUGUGUCUGCGCGUGCAGAUGCAGCUUUAAAUAGAUGAGUGGGCCCAUUUGAGAGCAUCACGAGUGUUUUCUUCCAUUACUGCUGAAGCAGGAGCAUCUCUUUAAGCAAAGAAGGCACUUCCCUGCUUUUGGCCAGCUUGAUUUAGUGGCAAGAGAUCCACAGCUCUACGUACAGCACAGUGUUUACCUUCUUUCUGUUCCUCAUUUAUAUAUCAGGGCUGUGCUGCUCUGUAUGAUCUUACGUGUACGUCACUACUAAUGCAAAGUGUUAAAGGGCCAUUAACAGGACUGAGCUGUUUUUGUUCUUCUCUGUCAGAGAGACGUCUGUUGUCAAUCCUUGAGUUUAUUUUUUUGGAGAGAGGUGAUCACACAAAGACCAAUUCCUUGUAAUAUUAGUAGUGACGCUACUGUUAAAUGUAGUAUUUAAUAACAGCACUAUUUACGAUCAGAAAAAUGAACUAGAGUGUGUUAUUGUGCUUGAUAGCUUCGGAGGCAGAUGGCCAUUUUUUUUCUUUUCUUUUUUUGUAACUGAAUUCUUUAACGUAAGCCACUCCCCCUCGACUGUGCGAGGAAUUUCAUUUGUUCUGAGGUUGCUAAGUGACAUGAUCUCAGAUUGACACCUUUUUAUUUUUUCUUCCUCUCGUUCUGCUUUUUUUCUAAAAGAGAGAUCUUGAUUUUUUUUUCUCCUUCAUUUCAUUUUAGAUUUUAGAAAGGGAAAGAAUACAAAUGAAAUAAAUCAGAAUAUUAAUUCAAUCACUUUUUCUACUCCUAUUUUCAAUAAAAAGUGAAAGAAAAAACCAAACAAAAAGUUGAUUUGUAAAUAAGUAAUGUACAGUUUGUAUCUGUAACUUGUCAGUCUGUCAUUGGUGACAGAGUCUGUCUUGCUUAUAACGCACGCUACAAGUAAAUAAAAAAGGAAAAAGUAUAUUUAGACUGUAUGGUCCCUUGAAAGCAAGUUUUAAAUUAAUAUCUGAUGUAUAUUCCUGUAACAUUGCAUUUUUAUCUGAGG
ensembl:lncRNA